UAAAUAGGUCGUGUAGUUGCGUGAUUUUUAAAAAAUUACGAGGAAAGUCCGGACUCUAUAGAGGUAUGGUGCCGGGUAACGCCCGGCGGAGUAAUAUUACUUUAGGGAAAGUGCCGCAGAAAAUAAACCUCCCUGGUAUAUAUGUAUAUAUACGAAGAUCAACUUGGAAAAGAGCUAGGAGACUGUAGACUUUCGGAACGGAGCGUACAAAAGUACGUGAGUACCGAAGAGGCUACAAAGACGACGACGCCAAUUUUUCAAGUUAAUCGAGUAGGGUAAGGGUGAAAAGGAGUGGUAAGAGCACACCGGUAAGUUGGUAACAAGUUACGCAUGGUAAACCCCACCAAGAGCAAAAUCAAAUAGGCGUUACAGAGCUUUUAUAAGCUCCCGGGUAUCUCUAACCGGUUUGUAAUGUGGGUAGAUUGCUUGAGGUAAACGAUAACGUUUAUCCUAGAUAAAUAACUACAACGAGCUAUUUAUAGUUCGUACAGAAUCCGGCUUAUAGACCUUAUUCUGUC
rnacentral:RNase_P_RNA from 1 species